UACGGAGGGUGCAAACGUUGCUCGGAAUCAUUGGGCGUAAAGCGCACGUAGGCGGACUGUUAAGUCGGAUGUGAAAUCCCUCAGCUUAACUGAGGAAGUGCAUUCGAAACUGGCAGUCUUGAGUAUGGAAGAGGGUCGCGGAAUUCCCGGUGUAGAGGUGAAAUUCGUAGAUAUCGGGAGGAACACCAGUGGCGAAGGCGGCGACCUGGGCCAAUACUGACGCUGAGGUGCGAAAAGCGUGGGGAGCAAACAGG
rnacentral:rRNA from 1 species